rnacentral:rRNA from 1 species
UACAGAGGGUGCGAGCGUUAAUCGGAAUUACUGGGCGUAAAGCGCACGUAGGCGGCUUGGUAUGUCGGGUGUGAAAUCCCCGGGCUCAACCUGGGAACUGCAUCCGAAACUGCCUUGCUAGAGUAUGGGAGAGGGAAGUGGAAUUUCCGGUGUAGCGGUGAAAUGCGUAGAUAUCGGAAGGAACACCGGUGGCGAAGGCGGCGACCUGGGUCGAGACUGACGCUGAGGCGCGAAAGCGUGGGGAGCAAACAGG